rnacentral:rRNA from 1 species
CGGGUGAGUAACGCGUGGGUAGCCUACCCUGUACACACAGAUAACAUACCGAAAGGUAUGCUAAUACGGGAUAAUAUAUUUGAGAGGCAUCUCUUGAAUAUCAAAGGUGAGCCAGUACAGGAUGGACCCGCGUCUGAUUAGCUAGUUGGUAAGGUAACGGCUUACCAAGGCGACGAUCAGUAGCCGACCUGAGAGGGUGAUCGGCCACAUUGGAACUGAGACACGGUCCAA